AGGGAAUCUUCCGCAAUGGACGAAAGUCUGACGGAGCAACGCCGCGUGAGUGAAGAAGGCCUUCGGGCCGUAAAACUCUGUUGUUAGGGAAGAACAAGUACCGUUCGAAUAGGGCGGUACCUUGACGGUACCUAACCAGAAAGCCACGGCUAACUACGUGCCAGCAGCCGCGGUAAUACGUAGGUGGCAAGCGUUGUCCGGAAUUAUUGGGCGUAAAGCGCGCGCAGGCGGUUUCUUAAGUCUGAUGUGAAAGCCCCCGGCUCAACCGGGGAGGGUCAUUGGAAACUGGGGAACUUGAGUGCAGAAGAGGAGAGUGGAAUUCCACGUGUAGCGGUGAAAUGCGUAGAGAUGUGGAGGAACACCAGUGGCGAAGGCGACUCUUUGGUCUGUAACUGACGCUGAGGCGCGAAAGCGUGGGGAGCGAAC
rnacentral:rRNA from 1 species